ACCCUUGUUGCGUGUGUCAGAAUUUCCUUCCUCUUUAAAGGCUGAAAAUAGUUCCCUGCAUGGAUAUACCGUGGUGUGGGGCCCUGUUCAAGGCCGCACUAAGCAUGGGUCUCAUUGGAGUGCUCAAGGCCAAGAUGCUUUUAUGCAGGCGCAAGGUCGCUGCAAGCCUUACACUGCAAAGACGUGCCCUUCUGUAGCCAAAAUAUGAUUGGUGUAACUAUUGGCACGAAGCCUUCUUUGUCCAAGGAGCACUAUACAGGCUACUGACCAGCUGGUCGGAAGAGGAGUGUGAAGGAGACUAAGCUGGAGAGACGGAGCUGAGAGCGGGCACCGCCGACGGGAGGCUAAGAGCUCACAGGGAGCUCAGCUGUAGCUGCCAUGUGGACCGGCCAGUGUGCUGCGCGGGGAGACGGAGAAGCUGCUGAGCCGGAGAGCUCAGGGGCCGCGACCGCGUGAGGCGACCAUAACUCCAAUCCAACCUCUAUCCACUCGUUCCCGAUCAACAAUCCUCGCAAAAACUGACUGUCAGAGGAAGAUGACGGAAAUUACGGUACCCAAAAAGGACCUCAAGAGUAGACGAUACUGAAAUGUGUGGUUUGGGGUGCAGAGUUUUCCUUGCUCUACAAAGUUUGAAGAAUAAACUUGUGGAUUAACAGA